rnacentral:rRNA from 1 species
GACGAACGCUGGCGGCGUGCUUAACACAUGCAAGUCGAGCGGUAAGGCCCUUUCGGGGGUACACGAGCGGCGAACGGGUGAGUAACACGUGGGUGACCUGCCCUCAGCUCUGGGAUAAGCCUGGGAAACCGGGUCUAAUACUGGAUAUGACUCCAUGACGCAUGUUGUGGGGUGGAAAGCCUUGUGCGGCUGAGGAUGGGCCCGCGGCCUAUCAGCUUGUUGGUGGGGUGAGGCCUACCAAGGCGACGACGGGUAGCCGGCCUGAGAGGGCGACCGGCCACACUGUGACUGAGACACGGCCCAGACUCCUACGGGAGGCAGCAGUGGGGAAUCUUGCGCAAUGGGCGAAAGCCUGACGCAGCGACGCCGCGUGAGGGAUGACGGCCU